GACGAACGCUGGCGGCGUGCUUAACACAUGCAAGUCGAACGGAAAGGCCUCUUUCGGGGGGUACUCGAGUGGCGAACGGGUGAGUAACACGUGAGUAACCUGCCCUUGACUUUGGGAUAACUUCAGGCAACUGGGGCUAAUACCGGAUAGGAGCUCCUGCUGCCUGGUGGGGGUUGGAAAGUUUCGGCGGUUGGGGAUGGACUCGCGGCUUAUCAGCUUGUUGGUGGGGGAGUGGCUUACCAAGGCUUUGACGGGUAGCCGGCCUGAGAGGGUGACAGGCCAUAUUGGGACUGAGGUGCGGCCCAGACUCCUACGGGUGGCAGCAGUGGGGAAUAUUGCACAAUGGGUGGAAGCCUGAUGCAGCAACGCCGUGGGCGGGAUGACGGCCUUCGGGUUGUAAACCGCUUUCGCUCAUGACGAAGCUUUGUGUGACGGUAGUGGGUAAAGAAGCACCGGCUAACUACGUG
rnacentral:rRNA from 1 species